CCUACGGGUGGCAGCAGUGAGGAAUAUUGGUCAAUGGGCUUACGCCUGAACCAGCCAAGUCGCGUGAGGGAAGACUGCCCUAUGGGUUGUAAACCUCUUUUGUCAGGGAGCAACGCCGGCUACGUGUAGCCGGACUGAGAGUACCUGAAGAAAAAGCAUCGGCUAACUCCGUGCCAGCAGCCGCGGUAAUACGGAGGAUGCGGGCGUUAUCCGGAUUUAUUGGGUUAAAAGGGUGCGUAGGCGGAAUGCCAAGUCAGCGGUAAAAUCGCGGGGCUAAACCUGGCUCUGCCGUUGAAACUGGCGUGCUUGAGUGGGCGAGAAGUAGGCGGAAUGCGUGGUGUAGCGGUGAAAUGCUUAGAUAUCACGAAGAACUCCGAUUGCGAAGGCAGCAUACCGGGGCCCAACUGACGCUGAAGCACGAAAGCGUGGGUAUCGAACAGGAUUAGAUACCCUUGUAGUC
rnacentral:rRNA from 1 species